GGACCCUGUGCUAUGCUCCAAA
rnacentral:siRNA from 1 species